UGGUAUAUUAGAAGAUAAAUUUCUAUACACUUUUUUGACCUAACCAGGAGCAUUUUCGAAAAAUGAAACUUCAGGCCCUGUAAGGUUUUUUAUUUAUACAACAACUCCCACCCACUAUGUUACGAAAAUCACAAUUUUGAAUUUUGCGUGAAGAAAAUUUUUAACAUUCAAACAUCACACUAUAGCGGCUAGCCUGGUUUGUUGCAAAAUAUAAUACAACGAUAACUCCGUUGUAUUGUAGCCUAUUUUAUGAAAAUACUCGAUGGUUCCCGCAAUUUUGGUGCAAAGGAACCUUACUUUUCAUGAUUACAAUAUGUGAGAUAAUUCGAAAACUCCUCAUUACACUUGCCUGUAGGCCAAGUGUCUUAAAUCCCUCUUUUUUUUUUUUUUUUUCGUGGAGAAAUGGAGUUUGCAUUAGCUCAUCGCAGGCUCAGGGUGCAACGUGUUCCAGUGACAUAUUCAGUUCAGUUUCAAAAUGGCGGCUUUUCACUGAGCGAUCUAAUAUAUGUUUCACACAGUUUCGUUGAAUUUUCAAAGAAUUGUGCCGGUUUCCUAUGGAUUUUACGUUGUGUCGCACUCUGGCCUUUCUUGCGUGUUGAAUUAGUGUGUUUUUCUUUGUGUAACGACUCGAAAACCCCAAAAUUUGGAUCCAGCGAAUUUAUACAAUAUAGUGGAAUAUAAACAAGGACAAGUUAAAGGUUUGACAGUUUGACUUUUUAAUUAACAAGUAUAAAUAUACGUUGUAGGCUCAUAAACACAUGCGUUGUGCUCUUAAUAAUAU